rnacentral:rRNA from 1 species
CACCUCGAGCAUUACUAGUAUUCGAGGCACUGCCUGCCCAGUGACCAAGUGUUAAACGGCCGCGGUACUCCGACCGUGCAAAGGUGGCAUAAUCAUUUGUUCCUUAAUUGGGGACUUGUAUGAAUGGCCACACGAGGGUUUAACUGUCUCUUUCUUCUAAUCAAUGAAAUUGACCUUCUCGUGAAAAGGCGAGAAUAAAUAUAUAAGAGGAGAAGACCCUAUGGAGCUUAAAUUAACUAAUUUAAUUGCUACCCUAUAAAUCUAUAAGAUACAACUAAGUAGCAUAAUAAAUUAACAAUUUUGGUUGGGGUGACCUCGGAGAAGAAAAAAACCUCCGAACGGUAUUCUAAUUCAGACUCUACAAGUCAAAAUUUACUAAUCACUUAUUAACCCAAUACUUGAUCAACGGAACAAGUUACCCUAGGGAUAACAGCGCAAUCCUACUCUAGAGUCCCUAUCGACAGCAGGGUUUACGACCUCGAUGUUGGAUCAGGACAUCCUAAUGGUGCAGCCGCUAUUAAGGGUUCGUUUGUUCAACGAUUAAAGUCCU